GGCGGCGCGGCCGAGUGGUUAUGGCACUGGAUUUGAAAUCUGGAGCCGUCCCUGGUUCAAAUCCUCCACCUUGCCA